rnacentral:lncRNA from 1 species
UAAGAAGUAUGUCUCAUCUAAAAUUCUUGUGAAAUAUCUAAAGAUGGCCUUCAUUUAAUCUGCAGCCGCUACAACUUCUCUGUCCUUCAGAUGAACACUUUGUGUGUACUGGAUAAACCUCUCACUGGGUGCUAACCUGCAAACCACACAAAAACGUAAACCGCAUUAGGCAAGCCAUACGCGACAGGUUCGACUCAGAAGGCAUUGAGGGGGAUUGAACCUGAAUCAUCUGUGUGGAUAACCACCCUCC